AUAUUAGUCAAUGCUCGCAAGAGUGAACUAGCUAACUGAAAUCCUCGGGGUGUCCCCAGGGAUAACGUAAGGGAAAAUAAUGAUAUUACCUUACUAUUAGUGUCGUCCAAGUACUCGUGCCAGAAGACUCGGUAACGCGAGAGACGCAAACGUUAAUCCUCCUGAUCAGGCGUAAAGGGUUUGUAGGCUGGUUUAAGUAUAUUUUUUUUAGUUUACUGUUUUAAUGUUUAAUUAGUUUCCUAGAACUAUAAGACUAGGUAAAGGUUUCUUUUCAAUGUUAAAGAUUAAUUUUAUUAAAACCUUUAAUUUUACAUUAAAAUUCUAAAACAAAAAUAUCAAUUAAACCUAGAAUCUAAUAUAGGUUAAAACAAUACUUGUGGUAGGUGUGUGAACCGUAAAUAAUAAGCAGAGUGUUAAUGGCGAAGGCUUUUAUCCGCUAAAGAUUGACGCUGAGAAACGAAGGUGGGGAAAGAAAAAAGGAUUAGAGACCCUUGUAUCCCUCACUGUAAACGAUGAAUGGUAGUCACUAGAUAGCAAUAAUCUUGAGGCAAUGUUAACACGAAAACCAUUCCGCCUUGUUAGUACGACUGCAAAGUUGAAAACAAAAAAAUUAGUCGGUUUCGGAGCAAACGAAGUGAAGCAUGUUAUUUA
rnacentral:rRNA from 1 species